rnacentral:rRNA from 1 species
GUAGGCGGUUUGUCGCGUCUGCUGUGAAAACUGGGGGCUCAACCCCCAGCCUGCAGUGGGUACGGGCAGACUAGAGUGCGGUAGGGGAGAUUGGAAUUCCUGGUGUAGCGGUGGAAUGCGCAGAUAUCAGGAGGAACACCGAUGGCGAAGGCAGAUCUCUGGGCCGUAACUGACGCUGAGGAGCGAAAGGGUGGGGAGCAAACAGGCUUAGAUACCCUGGUAGUCCACCCCGUAAACGUUGGGAACUAGUUGUGGGGUCCAUUCCACGGAUUCCGUGACGCAGCUAACGCAUUAAGUUCCCCGCCUGGGGAGUACGGCCGCAAGGCUAAAACUCAAAGGAAUUGACGGGGACCCGCACAAGCGGCGGAGCAUGCGGAUUAAUUCGAUGCAACGCGAAGAACCUUACCAAGGCUUGACAUAUACGAGAACGGGCCAGAAAUGGUCAACUCUUUGGACACUCGUAAACAGGUGGUGCAUGGUUGUCGUCAGCUCGUGUCGUGAGAUGUUGGGUUAAGUCCCGCAACGAGCGCAACCCUCGUUCUAUGUUGCCAGCACGUAAUGGUGGGAACUCAUGGGAUACUGCCGGGGUCAACUCGGAGGAAGGUGGGGAUGACGUCAAAUCAUCAUGCCCCUUAUGUCUUGGGCUUCACGCAUGCUACAAUGGCCGGUACAAAGGGCUGCAAUACCGUAAGGUGGAGCGAAUCCCAAAAAGCCGGUCCCAGUUCGGAUUGAGGUCUGCAACUCGACCUCAUGAAGUCGGAGUCGCUAGUAAUCGCAGAUCAGCAACGCUGCGGUGAAUACGUUCCCGGGUCUUGUACACACCGCCCGUCAAGUCAUGAAAGUCGGUAACACCUGAAGCCGGUUGCCCAACCCUUGUGGAGGGAGCCGUCGAAGGUGAU